rnacentral:rRNA from 1 species
GGGUUGUGAGGUUAAGCGACUAAGCGUACACGGUGGAUGCCCUGGCAGUCAGAGGCGAUGAAGGGCGUGCUAAUCUGCGAUAAGCGCCGGUAAGGUGAUAUGAACCGUUAUAACCGGCGAUACCCGAAUGGGGAAACCCAGUGUGACUCGUCACACUAUCAUUAACUGAAUCCAUAGGUUAAUGAGGCGAACCGGGGGAACUGAAACAUCUAAGUACCCCGAGGAAAAGAAAUCAACCGAGAUUCCCCCAGUAGCGGCGAGCGAACGGGGAGGAGCCCAGAGCCUGAAUCAGCAUGUGUGUUAGUGGAAGCGUCUGGAAAGGCGCGCGAUACAGGGUGACAGCCCCGUACACAAAAGCGCAUGUGCUGUGAGCUCGAUGAGUAGGGCGGGACACGUGGUAUCCUGUCUGAAUAUGGGGGGACCAUCCUCCAAGGCUAAAUACUCCUGACUGACCGAUAGUGAACCAGUACCGUGAGGGAAAGGCGAAAAGAACCCCGGCGAGGGGAGUGAAAAAGAACCUGAAACCGUGUACGUACAAGCAGUGGGAGCCCCACCACCAAAGCAUUAUCUGGUGUUGAAGGCCCUGCAAAGCAGCAUCGCGGUGGCGGAGCGUCGUUUGCGACGCCCAACACACAAAACAAGCGGUGAAUGCUUUGGGGUGGGGUGACUGCGUACCUUUUGUAUAAUGGGUCAGCGACUUAUAUUCUGUAGCAAGGUUAACCGAAUAGGGGAGCCGGAGGGAAACCGAGUCUUAAUUGGGCGUUAAGUUGCAGGGUAUAGACCCGAAACCCGGUGAUCUAGCCAUGGGCAGGUUGAAGGUUGGGUAACACUAACUGGAGGACCGAACCGACUAAUGUUGAAAAAUUAGCGGAUGACCUGUGGCUGGGGGUGAAAGGCCAAUCAAACCGGGAGAUAGCUGGUUCUCCCCGAAAGCUAUUUAGGUAGCGCCUCGUGAAUUCAUCUCCGGGGGUAGAGCACUGUUUCGGCUAGGGGGCCAUCCCGGCUUACCAACCCGAUGCAAACUGCGAAUACCGGAGAAUGUUAUCACGGGAGACACACGGCGGGUGCUAACGUCCGUCGUGAAGAGGGAAACAACCCAGACCGCCAGCUAAGGUCCCAAAGUCAUGGUUAAGUGGGAAACGAUGUGGGAAGGCCCAGACAGCCAGGAUGUUGGCUUAGAAGCAGCCAUCAUUUAAAGAAAGCGUAAUAGCUCACUGGUCGAGUCGGCCUGCGCGGAAGAUGUAACGGGGCUAAACCAUGCACCGAAGCUGCGGCAGCGAACGUAUCACCCAAGACAACUUUACGGAGUUGACGAUUGACGGAGCGAAGCGACGUCAAAGCGUUCAUUAAAGUCGAGUUGGCUUAGGGAUACGUUCGUUGGGUAGGGGAGCGUUCUGUAAGCCUGUGAAGGUGUGUCGUGAGGCAUGCUGGAGGUAUCAGAAGUGCGAAUGCUGACAUAAGUAACGAUAAAGCGGGUGAAAAGCCCGCUCGCCGGAAGACCAAGGGUUCCUGUCCAACGUUAAUCGGGGCAGGGUGAGUCGACCCCUAAGGCGAGGCCGAAAGGCGUAGUCGAUGGGAAACGGGUUAAUAUUCCCGUACUUGGUGUUACUGCGAAGGGGGGACGGAGAAGGCUAUGUUGGCCGGGCGACGGUUGUCCCGGUUUAAGCGUGUAGGUGUGUGUUCCAGGUAAAUCCGGUUCACUUU